GCCUGGGGGCGGGCGGGUGCGCGCGCGCGCGGAGGAACCGCGGCUCGGACCGGGACUGGGAGCUAAGCCGCACUGGGAGGGCGUUUAAGGGGAGGACCCGGCGAGCGCGCCCCCGGCAGGCGAGCGCGCGCCCGGCGAUUAGAACUUGCCGCGCGGUGGGGAAAGGGUGGCCGGAGUGAGGGGCGGGGGUGACGGCUUGCGCCUCCGCACGCCCCUCCCUCUCUUCCUUCCCCUGAGCGCCUCGGCUGGCCGCUGCCCCCGCCCCCUCCAGCGCGCCCCUUCCCUCCUGCCGCAGCCUGCGAUUGGCUGAGAGGCUCUGACGUCCGUGUUUCCAUGACGUGUUGGUGCAGGAGGGAGCGGCGGGGGAGGAGGGGGUGGCUCAGGCGCGCGGGGAGGUGACUCCGUCAGUCACAGCUGCUGUUUCGGCGCGGGGCCGGGCCGCUGCCGCGACGUGUGGAGGCAGGAGAGUGAUGAUUGCCGCAGGAGAAGUGCGGGCGCCCUUCACCUGGGGCCCCUCCCGAACCGCCCCCGGGCCCAUGCCCCUCCAGGGCCCAGGAGCGAGCCAGCGGGAGGGCGAGGGCGAGCGCUCCUGGCGAGGACAGAUUAAGGCGAACCCCCAGUCAGCGGACAUUUGAGCGGUUCCUCGCCGCGUCUCUGCCCCCACUCCAAACCGGACUCGACGCCUGUCCCGGGCCGUGACGCACGCACCCGACGACAAAAGUGCUUCUCGGCUCGCUCCCUCUUUGGGGAAGAGAGCUCACUCCCCAUGCGGGCGCGGGGCACCCCAUCUCUGUUCCUGCCGGUGGGGUCCGCAAACACCGGGGAUCCCGGCUGCAGCGCCCAAAGGGUUAACGCAGGCGUUCGGCCAGUGCAAACCGGCCUCACAGGAUCCGCGCUUAAAAUCCGGGUGUUUUCAUUUUGGGUUUGUUUCUUCUACUAUGCCAAGCUGGUGGUUCUCUUUUAAUUCUCUUGUAACAUCUCAACCCUGCACCCAUCUUUCCUGAGGGGAAAAGGAAACGGGAUAACUUGCGGUAUUUCGAUGCUCAAAGGUAACCGGCGGCUCUGCUCAAACCUUCAAGAGAUUUUGCAAGUUGAAAAAAAAAAACAAAAACCAUCCUUCGUAACAUCUACUUAAAAAAAAAGCAAGUUUUCCUUCUUGUACACACAUAUACACAGUAAAGAUGUGUAUCUUACCUAAGAUACCGCGCUUCAUCUUCAUCUAAUCUUUAUUUGAACUCACCGUCGCCACUGGCCCAGAGACCUUGUCAGUGUUAUUUUCAGUAUCAGUUAAUCAGAACAAAAAUAUAAGUUCUGCAAUCUUCUUUCUCUUAAUUCCAGAACUGGAAAAUUAAUAUUUGUAUAGCCUCCUCAAAAGCAUACAGGCAAUAGGAAGUAUGGUAUUAUAUUCACGAUCUGUUGAUAGCAUUUGUUUUAAAAUAUUUUAAAAGAUUAGACACAAAAUGUGUAAAAGACAUUUAAAAGUGAAUAAAUAUAAAUCAAUGCUGUUGCAAAUAAUUUUUUUAUCAGUUUAUGUAUCUCACUAGGCUAGACAUUACCAGCCUUCUGAGCUGUGCCCUUGAUGUGUAAGAUGAACAAACAUUGGACAGAAUGAUAGCAUUUUUCCUCUCUUCAGUCACUGAUGGAGAAUUGAUUAAUGUGGUACAAUAAAUAGCCCUUCCUGAAACUAUUUCAAAUCUUUUUAACAGAAGGAUAACCUAAAUUUCACCUAAUAAAUUUCAGUAUUAUUUCCCUCUAAAAUAUCUUUCAAAACGAUUCAGAGACAUUUAAGAAUCACUGGCUUUUUUCCAACGUUUCCUCCAAGGAAGUCACAAUACAAUGUUGAAUUAUGUAUUCUACUUUAAUCAAGAAUUUGACAUUAAAGUAAUAUGUGAAUCAUUGCUAUAGUACACUAGCAAAAUGGGUAAUAGAUUAAACUAGAAUCUGUUCACUUUGUGGGUUUGUUCCAGUUCCAGAUUAUAAAAUGAAUGCUCUUAAAGUGUUGUGGUCAUGAAACAAUUAUUGAGCAUCUUUAAGAACACGAUUCAAUUAAAUUUUCAUUUAUAUCGAUAAAUCUAUAAAUGAAGCACACGGAAUAUAUAUUCAUGUAUAUCUAUAAGUGAAAACUUGUGUGUGUGUGUGUGUAUCCCAGAACAUAUUUGUAUGCAUUUUAAUGAAAUGUGAGUCAUAUGCAAUGACAAACUUUUACUGUCAUAGUCAAGAAAAUUGUACUGUAGUUUGGUUUUUAUAUUUUUAUUCUUCAAAUAGGAAAUAAAGGGUGAAAGCAAUAUAGAAAUAACUGUUCACAUUACAUUAAGCAAUUCAAUUUUUUUCUCCCACAGGCUUAGUACUAAAGCCCCCUUCAUACAUGUUUUUCAAUGUAAAAAUCAAGAAAAUAUUGCAUUGCUUACUGUUUCCUUGAAAAAAAAUUGAACUAUCUGAAAUCAAAGAUGCCACUGUAUGUAACAGUAUUCUCUUAAUCUUAGACCUAACUUAUCCCAUGCGUUUAACUGAUGUAGAGAUGUAUCUAUGCAUAAGGAACAAUAUAAUAAUACAAUUUACUGAGGAAAUAAUAUUUUAAAGUUCUUUUAAUAUGCAUUUUAGCUACAAUGCAAAACUUAUAAAAGUAUUUAAAUCCAGUCAGGUGCGGUGGCUCACGCCUGUAAUCCCAGCACUUUGGGAGACGGAGGCAGGCAGAUCACGAGGUCCGGAGACUGAGACCAUCCUGGCCAACAUGGUGAAACCCCGUCUCUACUAAAAAUACAAAAAUUAGCUGGGCGUGGUGGCGCUUGCCUGUAAUUCCAGCUACUCAGGAGGCUGAGGCAGGAGAAUCGCUUGAACCAGGGAGUCCAAGGUUGCACCGAGCCGAGAUCGCACCACUGCACUCCAGCCUGGCGACAGAAUAAGAACAAUGGAAUGAAGCCAAUUCACCAAUCAUCAAAAGAAAGUCACUGAAAACAAAUUUGUUGACCUAUGUAUUGUUGGUGUCAGAGGAAAAGGGGUCAAGCGAGGAAAGCUGAAAAGUGCUGGCGAGUGAGUGGAGAGUUAAAAGGAAGCGCAGUGUCACGCUCAGAGACUGCUUUCUUACAGUCUCAGCAGUCUCUUUGGUCUUCUAUGCCUCUCCUUAAGUUCUCUCAAGAGCUGUUCUCUUCAAGAUCCAGGUGCUUCUGCUGUUCUGCUCAAUUGUUAAAAGAAAGAAAGAAAGAAAGCGUCAUAAUUUUUAAGAAGAUUGGAAUCACCAGGACUUGUUUUCUUACCCAUUUCUCUCUUACUUCUAUAAUACUCAUAUUCUGUGGCUUUAGCAAAGUCCUCCUACUCUGAGAUUAAAAACUCUAAUUUGUAACUUAGGCCAUUAUAAAAUGUAUGCUAGAGGACUACUCUAGUUUUUAAAUAUGGUACUUAUAAACACAGCAUUAUUAGAAGUCAAGAAUGUUUCCAACUUCUGUGUUUGUCAUGUAUGUGUCUAGGCCUCUAUAGUAAACUGCUUUACCCUUGACCUCUAGCUACGUUUUCUCCUCCUCCUUCUAAUUGCUCCAAGCUUUCUUCUUAGGUCAUUGCAAGCUGUCCUACUUCUUCCCUGGUACACUUAUGUUCUGUAUACUUGGACUGCCUGCCUGUUCUCAAGUUUAUUUCUCAUCCUUAUUUGGAAAGUACAGAACUUGAGAAUGGUAAACAAAAUCGAUAUUCUUUGUUAUUUGGUAGGCAAGUAACUAAUUUAAGACUUAAAACAGAAGUAUAAAUUAUUAUAACAGUUAAAAGUGGUUGAGUGCCAAUUUUGUGCUUUUAGCUGUAGAAAAGAAAAUCAUUUUCUUACAAAACUGUGACUAUACACUGUUGGUAAUAAAGUAUUCAUGCUAAUCAUGUUCAUAAGAUUGUAACAGAAAUGCUGAUAUUCUAAUAUCUCCAUUUCUCCCCCUAUGGUACUUAGUAAACUAUGGAACUAGAUACUAGUCUAGAGCAUUUUUUUCUUUCUCAUAUUAUAUUUAGGUCAUUUUAAUACUAAUUGUAACUAAAAAGUAAGCAUUUUCUAAAACUAUUUCUAUUACCAAUGAAAAAUUGUGUUGAAUGCUAAUACUAAUUAUUUGUCAGUGGUAACCUUUUGUUAAAAGAAUUCUUUUGUUCAUACUAGGCAGGACAGAAACUGAUCCGGCAAGAGAGACAGAUAAAUCUAAAUUUCUGUAGCACUUUUUUCUCUCAAUAUAAAUAUUUAAUUAUGUAAUGAGAAAUUCUUAUGAAAAAUUGUGACAUACAAUGGGAUUGAUUCUUUCUCUGUAAGUAGGGCACUAGUCAUGUAUCUGAGAAAGAAAUUAAAACUUUUAAAGUAUUUUUAAGUGAUGGAUCUAUUCUAGGCACUUUAAAAUAUUCUCUUUAAUUGUCACUGUACCCUACAAACUAGAUAUUAUCAUCCCUAUUUCACAGAUGAGUAAUUAAGGUGAAAUAACUUGCCCACAGCUGCACAGUUAAUACUAGGAAGAGCCAGAGGUAUGACACAGGGCUGAUUCUAAAGCUCAUGUCCUUUCCAUCUUCUUAAAAUAGGCCCCUCUGCUCAUUCUUCAGGAGAAAAUCAGCCUUGCAAUAUAUUAUAAUACCUACCACGAGAGCCUUGUGGUUUGGUGGAUAAGGAUGUGGGAUCUGAGGUUAAACUGAAUUUGGAGCUCAAUCCUGUCACUCAUUGAUUGUGUAAUCUUGAACAUUACUUGAUGUCUCUGUGCUUCAAUUUCAUCAUCUGUAAAAAAGGGGUGAUAACAAUAAUAUCCACUCAGUAGUGUGGUUUGUAAGGACUACAUGAGGGAAUACACAUAAAGUUCUCAAUAAAGUGGUCAAUACAUAGUGUUCAAUGGACAUUUUCCAGGAGUUUGUUCUCCCUAUAAAAGUUGGUCUUUUUGUGGGUAGAGAAAAGAUGUAUGGGUUGUAAAUUCCUUUCUUCUUAGCCACUUAUGUCUGGCUGAUUUGGAAAUCACUGCUUGUUUUAGAUCCCUGCCAGAUUUUACAUGUUCAUUUUUUGUUCCUUUCAUGCAUCGUAGAAGAUUAAAAAUGCCCAUAAAUUAUUUGCUAAUUCACCCUUUGAGAAGAUUUUCCUUCUCUUGAAUAUAUGCUAGACUUAGUGACUUACUUGAUAAACAGAAUAUUGCAGAGUGGGACUUUUAAGGCUAAAUAAAAGGAGUCUUGCAUCUUUUGUCCACAUCUCUUUGAAUGCUUCUCCGGGAGUCCUCAACCAUCAGGUGAGAAGUCUGACUGCCUUGAAAUGUUGGAAAGGCCAUGUGUAGGCACUCUGGUCAUCAGAUCCAGCUAAGUCCAGUUUUCCAGUCAUCCCUGACAAGGUGUCAGACAUCUAAGGAAAGCAGUCUUGGACCCUCCAGACCGAUCUGGAUAUCACUGAAGAUGCUUAGUUGACAGAAUAAUCUCCCAGCUGAGCCCUGCUUUAAUUUCUGACCCCCAAAAUUAUGAGAUAUAAUGAAAUGGUUGUUGUUUUAAGCCACUACAUUUUGGGGUAAUUUGUUACAUAGCACUCAAUAACUGAAACAUGCAUUUAUUUAUUUUCAAUGAAACUCUUGUGCAAAAAACUGUUCUAGGUAGUGGGGAAUGAUGCAUCUAUGAACAACUUUAGCAUGAUCACUGAUCUCAUGAAGGUUACUGUCUUAGCCAGGGUUCUCCAGAGAAACAGAACCAACAAGAUAAGUAUAUACAGAUAUGUAUACAUAAAAGGAGAUUUAUUAUAGGAAUUGGUUCACAUAGUUAUGGAGGUCAAGAAGUCCAACAAUCUGCUGUUUGCAAGCUGAGGAACAAAGAAAGCCAGUGGUGGAAUUUAGUCAGAGGCCAAAGACCUGAGAAUUGGGGUAUGUGUGAGGGAAUGAGCAGAUAGUGUAAAUCCCAGUCUGAGUCAGAAAUCUCAAGAACCAGGAACACCAAUGUCCAAGUGUAGGAGAAAAUGGAUGUCUUAGCUCAAACUGAGAAGAAAAUUCACCCUUCCUUUGCCUUUUUAUUCUAUUCAGACCCUCAAUAGAUUGGAUAAUGCCCGUUCACAUUGGGGAGAGUCAUCUGCUGUACUCAGAUUGCCAGUUCAAAUGCAAAUAUUGCUAAU